UGAAAGAUUUCUUCGGAAUGAAUUUGAUUUAGUUUAGUGGCGGACGGGUGAGUAACGCGUGAGUAACCUGCCUUCAAGAGGGGGAUAACAUUCUGAAAAGAAUGCUAAUACCGCAUGACAUAUCGGAACCACAUGGUUCUGAUAUCAAAGAUUUUAUCGCUUGAAGAUGGACUCGCGUCCGAUUAGUUAGUUGGUGAGGUAACGGCUCACCAAGACCGCGAUCGGUAGCCGGACUGAGAGGUUGAACGGCCACAUUGGGACUGAGACACGGCCCAGACUCCUACGGGAGGCAGCAGUGGGGGAUAUUGCGCAAUGGGGGCAACCCUGACGCACCAACGCCGCGUGAAGGAUGAAGGUUUUCGGAUUGUAAACUUCUUUUAUUAAGGACGAAAAAUGACGGUACUUAAUGAAUAAGCUCCGGCUAACUACGUGCCAGCAGCCGCGGUAAUACGUAGGGAGCAAGCGUUGUCCGGAUUUACUGGGUGUAAAGGGUGCGUAGGCGGCUUUGCAAGUCAGAUGUGAAAUUCUAUGGGCUCAACCCAUAAACUGCAUUUGAAACUGUAGAGCUUGAGUGAAGUAGAGGCAGGCGGAAUUCCCCGUGUAGCGGUGAAAUGCGUAGAGAUGGGGAGGAACACCAGUGGCGAAGGCGGCCUGCUGGGCUUUAACUGACGCUGAGGCACGAAAGCGUGGGUAGCAAACAGGAUUAGAUACCCUGGUAGUCCACGCUGUAAACGAUGAUUACUAGGUGUGGAGGGUCUGACCCCUUCCGUGCCGGAGUUAACACAAUAAGUAAUCCACCUGGGGAGUACGGGCAAAACGUUGAAACUCAAAGGAAUUGACGGGGGCCCGCACAAGCAGUGGA
rnacentral:rRNA from 1 species